GACGAACGCUGGCGGCGUGCUUAACACAUGCCAGUCGAACGGAAAGGCCCUGCUUUUGUGGGGUGCUCGAGUGGCGAACGGGUGAGUAACACGUGAGUAACCUGCCCUUGACUUUGGGAUAACUUCAGGAAACUGGGGCUAAUACCGGAUAGGAGCUCCUGCUGCAUGGGGGGGGUUGGAAAGUUUCGGCGGUUGGGAUGGACCCGCGGGUUAUCCGGUUGUUGGUGGGGUAGUGGCUUACCAAGGCUUUGAAGGGUAGGCGGCCCGAGAGGGUGAACGGGCACCAUGGGACUGAGAUACGGCCCAGACUCCUACGGGAGGCAGCAGUGGGGAAUAUUGCACAAUGGGCGGAAGCCUGAUGCAGCAACGCCGCGUGCGGGAUGACGGCCUUCGGGUUGUAAACCGCUUUCGCCUGUGACGAAGCGUGAGUGACGGUAAUGGGUAAAGAAGCACCGGCUAACUACGUG
rnacentral:rRNA from 1 species